AACGAACGCUGGCGGCAUGCCUAACACAUGCAAGUCGAACGGAGGCUUCGGCCUCAGUGGCGCACGGGUGAGUAACACGUGGGAACCUGCCCCGAGGUACGGAAUAACGUCUGGAAACGGACGCUAAGACCGUAUGUGACCUGAGGGUGAAAGAUUUAUCGCCUUGGGAGGGGCCCGCGUCCGAUUAGGUAGUUGGUGGGGUAACGGCCCACCAAGCCGACGAUCGGUAGCUGGUCUGAGAGGACGAUCAGCCACACUGGGACUGAGACACGGCCCAGACUCCUACGGGAGGCAGCAGUGGGGAAUAUUGGACAAUGGGCGCAAGCCUGAUCCAGCAAUGCCGCGUGAGUGAUGAAGGCCUUAGGGUUGUAAAGCUCUUUUGGCGGGGACGAUGAUGAUGGUACCCGCAGAAUAAGCCCCGGCUAACUUCGUGCCAGCAGCCGCGGUAAAAC
rnacentral:rRNA from 1 species